rnacentral:rRNA from 1 species
UACGGAGGGUGCGAGCGUUGUCCGGAAUCACUGGGCGUAAAGGGCGCGUAGGCGGCCUGAUAAGUAGGGUGUGAAAUCCUGCGGCUUAACCGCAGGGCUGCCUUCUAAACUGUCAGGCUUGAGCACGGUAGAGGCGGAUGGAAUUCCCGGUGUAGCGGUGGAAUGCGUAGAGAUCGGGAAGAACAUCAGUGGCGAAGGCGGUCUGCUGGGCCGUUGCUGACGCUGAGGCGCGACAGCGUGGGGAGCAAACAGG